AUCUGAUGUUAUUGAUUAGGGUUGUCACCAUAUCUGAUGUUAUUGAUUAGGGUUGUCACCAUAUCAUUAAUGAUUAGGGUUGUCACCAUAUCUGAUGUUAUUGAUUAGGGUUGUCACCAUAUCUGAUGUUAUUGAUUAGGGUUGUCACCAUAUCUGAUGUUAUUGAUUAGGGUUGUCACCAUAUCUGAUGUUAUUGAUUAGGGUUGUCACCAUAUCAUUAAUGAUUAGGGUUGUCACCAUAUCUGAUGUUAUUGAUUAGGGUUGUCACCAUAUCUGAUGUUAUUGAUUAGGGUUGUCACCAUAUCUGAUGUUAUUGAUUAGGGUUGUCACCAUAUCUGAUGUUGUUGAUUAGGGUUGUCACCAUAUCUGAUGUUAUUGAUUAGGGUUGUCACCAUAUCUGAUGUUAUUGAUUAGGGUUGUCACCAUAUCAUUAAUGAUUAGGGUUGUCACCAUAUCUGAUGUUAUUGAUUAGGGUUGUCACCAUAUCUGAUGUUAUUGAUUAGGGUUGUCACCAUAUCUGAUGUUAUUGAUUAGGGUUGUCACCAUAUCAUUAAUGAUUAGGGUUGUCACCAUAUCUGAUGUUAUUGAUUAGGGUUGUCACCAUAUCUGAUGUUAUUGAUUAGGGUUGUCAUCAUAUCUGAUGUUAUUGAUUAGGGUUGUCACCAUAUCUGAUGUUGUUGAUUAGGGUUGUCACCAUAUCUGAUGUUAUUGAUUAGGGUUGUCACCAUAUCUGAUGUUAUUGAUUAGGGUUGUCACCAUAUCUGAUGUUAUUGAUUAGGGUUGUCACCAUACCUGAUGUUAUUGAUUAGGGUUGUCACCAU